rnacentral:rRNA from 1 species
GAUGAACGCUGGCGGCGUGCCUAAUACAUGCAAGUCGAGCGAACAGAUGAGGAGCUUGCUCCUCUGACGUUAGCGGCGGACGGGUGAGUAACACGUGGAUAACCUACCUAUAAGACUGGGAUAACUUCGGGAAACCGGAGCUAAUACCGGAUAAUAUAUUGAACCGCAUGGUUCAAUAGUGAAAGACGGUUUUGCUGUCACUUAUAGAUGGAUCCGCGCCGCAUUAGCUAGUUGGUAAGGUAACGGCUUACCAAGGCAACGAUGCGUAGCCGACCUGAGAGGGUGAUCGGCCACACUAGAACUGAGACACGGUCCAGACUCCUACGGGAGGCAGCAGUAGGGAAUCUUCCGCAAUGGGCGAAAGCCUGACGGAGCAACGCCGCGUGAGUGAUGAAGGUCUUCGGAUCGUAAAACUCUGUUAUUGGGGAAGAACAAAUGUGUAAGUAACUAUGCACGUCUUGACGGUACCUAAUCAGAAAGCCACGGCUAACUACGUG